UCAUUUCAGUCCACGAUGGUGAUGGUGUUUUUAUGAAUACUAUAUAUGUAAUGCAAAUACAUCAAUCGUAUGAUCUUCCCAGAUUGUUUGAAGAGAGAUAUGUAAGGCAUGCAGUGCAGACGAAGGGGUUUUGCUGGUUCAUAUCCAUAAGCAAAAGCCUGGCAGUGGUCUUUCCCACCCAAUAUGGGCUAUACAUAAAAAGCAAGCAUCUCAAAGGGAUGUAUUCAGUUAAUGUGGAUUACAAUCCAGAACCACAAGCAGAAGCGAGGGAAGGACUUGGAUCAUCUUCAUCUCCCCUUUCUAUUGCUGUUAUAUGAUGUAUGUAUAAGGUUUGGUUUGAGAUUUGAAUGUGAAGCUUUCAUUUUGGGUUAAUCUCAUCCACACACAUCCCAGUAUGGGGCAUCAUCCCACUGUUACUUAAUUAUUAGUUGUGUCCAAGCAGCACAUGCUCGGUUUCCAAGCUUGAAAGAUGAAUUUCUUAAAGGAAAGAAAGGCUAGAGGCUACAUGAUUAAGAGGAAAAGAAAAGAUAGGCAACAAAGGAAGAGAAGAGGGGUGGAUUGGAGGGGUGGAGGGGCUGAGGUUUGUGGCCACAAACCAUUCCACCAUUCAAAAACCAGUAAUUAAGGGUACACAAACCAAAAAACCAGUAAUUAAGGGUAAGGGGUGGAUCAACAGAAUCAGCAUCUGCUUAAAACGACGUCACUCGAUGACUUGACACCACAACACCCGCCCCCACCCUGUAAUCAUAGAAUUAGAAGCCCACCUGAAUUGAUACUCAUUAUAUGUGCAGCUCUGGUUUGAUAUCCAAUAUCCAAAGUCUGCAAUGAGAGAGGUAGUGAUUGGGGUUAGAAAUUUGGCAUCACAUUGAGGCGACCAAAGCAAGGUAAGCAAUAGUAUAAUAAGAGGGAAACCGAAGUGUGCAUUUGGGUAUUGUUGUUGAGAAAAUAGAUAUAGGAUGAUAAAGGUGGCGAUAAUGGCGGAGAUUUUGGGAGUGUACGUGUCUACUCUUACCAGACUCACGCACCGCUUGGGGCUACCACGAUGGAAUCUGGCAGCGGAGAUUUUGGGAGUGUACGUGUCUACUCUUACCAGACUCACGCACCGCUUGGGGCUACCACGAUGGAAUCUGGCAGUGCAUGGCCUCACCGGCUCCCAUUCUCCUUCUUCUACCCUUCUAAUCCUCUAUUUCUAGCUCCCAUUCUCCUUCUUCUACCCUUCUAAUCCUCUAUUUCUAGCUCCCCUCCAUCUCUCCUUUCUUUGCUCUUCACUUAUUCCUCUGCUCUGCUCUUUUGUAAAUGAAUUAUAUUCCAAG